rnacentral:rRNA from 1 species
GACGAACGCUGGCGGCGUGCUUAACACAUGCAAGUCGAACGCUGAAGCUCAGCUUUUGUUGUGUGGAUGAGUGGCGAAAGGGUGAGUAACACGUGAGUAACCUGCCCCCUGCUUUGGGAUAACGCCCGGAAACGGGUGCUAAUACUGGAUAUUCACUGGUCUGCGCAUGGGUGAUGGUGGAAAGGGGUUUUCUGGUGGGGGGUGGGCUCGCGGCCUAUCAGCUUGUUGGUGGGUUAUGGCCUACCCAGGCUUUGACGGGUGGGAGGCCUGAAAGGGUGCCUGGUAAGAUUGGGACUGAGACACGGCCUGGACUACUACGGGAGCCCGCAGUGGGGACUAGUGCGCAAUGGGCGCAGGCCUGAUGCAGCGACGCCGCGUGAGGGAUGGAGGCCGUCGGGUUGUGAACCUCUUUCGCUAAUGCUCAAGCCGCAACAAUGGUUGUAGUGACGGUACUGGGUAAAGAAGCGCCGGCUAACUACGUG